UACGUAGGGCGCAAGCGUUAUCCGGAAUUAUUGGGCGUAAAGAGCUCGUAGGCGGUUUGUCGCGUCUGCUGUGAAAGACCGGGGCUCAACUCCGGUUCUGCAGUGGGUACGGGCAGACUAGAGUGCAGUAGGGGAGACUGGAAUUCCUGGUGUAGCGGUGAAAUGCGCAGAUAUCAGGAAGAACACCCGUGGCGAAAGCGGCUCUCUGGAACGGUACUGACGCUGAGACGCGAAAGCGUGGGGAGCGAACAGG
rnacentral:rRNA from 1 species